UCUCCCCCUGUAUCUAGCAGUCUCCCCCCUGUCUCUAGUCUCCCCCCUGUAUCUAGCAGUCUCCCCCGCCCCCCAUGCCGCCGCUUUGUGUCGGAGGGCAGGAACCCGUUGCCUUUAAGAAUCCGCCGCUGCAGGCUGGGAGAAUGCGAUCCGCCGAGCAUCCUGCCGGCUCCGUGUUAUACCGGGCUGGGGACCGGGGGAGCAGGAGGUAGAGCCGGGGAUACACAGCCUGACCGCAAGCAUGGAGCCACAGCCUGCCUGAGCCGAGCACGGACUCAGAGUGUGAGUGAGGGAAGCACUGAGUGAGGGUGUGAGUGAGGGAGGGUGGGAAGCAUUGAGUGAGAGAGUGAGGGUGGGA